GUCUACAUCCAUAUGACCCUUAACGCACCUUGUCUCAUCUGAUCUUGGAAGCUAAGUAGUGUCUAGCUUGGUUAGUACUUGGAUGGGAGAAUAGCCAAAACAAUUUAAAAA
ensembl:rRNA 5S_rRNA 5S ribosomal RNA